rnacentral:rRNA from 1 species
UACGGGGGGGGCAAGCGUUGUUCGGAAUUACUGGGCGUAAAGCGCGCGUAGGCGGCUUUGCAAGUCGGGUGUGAAAUCCCCAGGCUUAACCUGGGAACUGCAUUCGAGACUGCAUUGCUAGAGUAUGGGAGAGGGAAGUGGAAUUUCCGGUGUAGCGGUGAAAUGCGUAGAUAUCGGAAGGAACAUCAGUGGCGAAAGCGACUUCCUGGACCAAUACUGACGCUCAUGUGCGAAAGCGUGG